UUUAUCGCAGCAUAUAAUAUAUACAUUUAGUCCUACGUCACCAUUUCAUACAACCCCUUAGGGCUAUAUACCUUGUAGUAUUUUUAAAACAGGUAUAUGAUUACCUGUGGCGUAAAAAAUCGUGUAAAAAAGACCUUACUGUAUUAACAUUAGCAUGCAAUAAGAAGAAACUGAGUCGCUUUUAAAAACGCACGCCAAAACAGACAGACAGACAUACAUUUGCAUUCAUAGCUAUAGAUAAUUCAUCACGGAGAAAUCUUCGAAUAAACAUCAAUCGAGACGAAAAAACAACCUAAAUAGUCGCAGAAUACUACGUUUUCGGUAUAAAAAAAUCUAUCAUUUUAUAUCCUUAAUUUAAAGGCUGUAGAAUUUUUCCGUCCUGUUUGCGUAACUACUAUUUUUUCGGAUGUAAAAAAAAAUUCUUAGAAAGCUUUUACGAUACGCAAGAGGAAACAUUGCAUUCAAAAAUCCGACAAAAUAUGUUGCCUUACAGCUGGUAUGAAACAGCAAAACCUGGCAAACAUUUGAUUAGCUGCCUUUGUCUAGGUGUUCCGACAUUCUAAAUGAAAUGCAAUUAAUGAACGAGAAAUUAUAACUCUCUAAACUUAGCAUUUAAUUGGUCCUGAAAAGGACAAUUUGUUGAUGUGAUGUUGAUCGCAUCUCUGUGCUAUUCCUGACAGUAGAAAUCAGGCACUCUUCUGGUAACACAGUGGAAAGCUGGUGUCACACUGAAAAUUCGACGGCCGACAAAUUUUGAUUGCCAGCAUCCCAAAAACGUGUGUGUGUUGCCAAAUUACGGCAGAACUUCUCUGCCGGAGUAAGUACUUGCCAAAGCACCUACUACUGAUGCUACCCCUACCGUACAAAGGCAGCCUCUACUAGAGGCCGCAGCGAAUGUGAAUGCCCACGGUCCAUACAAAACUUUGUGGAUGUGGAUGGCCCCUAUUAGUAUUUUUAAACCAUUCUUAUGCAAAACUGUUGAUGGUAGCUCAAAGAUGCGCGAGAACCUAUUUCCCAUCACCUAUCAUUGUCUAUUAUUAUUUUAAGAAAGGUUUAAUCACAGACAAACAGACGUGCCACUCGAUGACGAUUUCAUCGACCAGAAAAAUAACGAUUAUUUUGAAAUUUUGCUUAGUGGGCAAUAAUGCCGCUGGUGUCGCUACUGGUAUAUUUGGACAAUUUUUUUUCCAAAAAAACUGGCAGCACGAUCACACCGUUUUUUUGUUAGCAUAACAACGUUAAGAUGGGUCGAAAGUGUGAGAUGGUUAUGUGCCCAAACAGAGAAGGAAAAACUAGUGGAUAAUCCUUUUUCGAAUUUCCGCAUAUAUCGGAGAGGUAAGUAAUUUGAAAAUUUAUAACAAGUAGAAUUCAUAAUAACCCGAAGUUGCCCUGCCUGGGUGUGAGCUGUGGGUGAAACUCUGUGGCUCUUCCGAGCUGUCUUCCAAAUUUGAUGCUGAUGGCGUUCAAGCGAUGCGCAAACAUAAAAUAUGUUCAGAUCAUUUUCCAGUAUUUAUGCUAAAAACCCUCUCCAAUCGAGUACAGGGUAAAUAUAGUGUUUUCAAAUUUCCUCUAAUGGAAAUAAUAGUUGAAAAUUUCAGGCUUCUUAGCAAUGCUGCGCCAUUAGUAUCCGUAGUGCAAUCGGGAGAUACAAAUAGUGAGGAGCAGUAUUUAGGUAUCCUAGAAAUUGAGCCCGAUGAAGCAGAAGGUCUGGUCUCGAGAGAAGAACCAAAGUAUAAAAUUCAUAUAAAAAAAUACAUCCACUUACGUACUUUUUCAUAGUUUUAACUGCAGCGUAAUACAGUGCCGAAAUACUGAAAAUAGUAGAGUAAAAUCAGCUGAUGAGCAAGUUAAUAAUAUUGAAAAUUUUGAUUGGUUGACCGUCGAAAAACAACCUGAACCAUAUGUCAUCCAAAGAAAACCCAAGUUAAUAAAACUAGAGAUCAGCCCAACAACUGAAGAUACUGAACUUGUUUUAUCUCACGAACGAUCACAAUGUAUGAGGGUAAGUUUUUCCUUAUGUAAAAUUCUAUCUGUUAAUAUCGACGCUAUCGGAUACGUGAAAAAGUCGACUAACAAGUCAGUCACCAUACGUUCCACACAAGCCCGGGGGAGAUUUGUAGUUUCAGUAGGGUUUUUACUAGGGUUGCUGUCUGAGUAGUCCAACCCUAGUGUCGAAUAUGACAAUGCUUUGCGUUCGUUUUUCAUAUUAUUGUUCAGAUACAUUUUCUUUAUAUAUUGCAGAAAGAUUAUGCCCUCCCGCAUGAGGGCUUUUCGUCGUAUGGUUACACAGAAACAACAAGCGUUGCUGGAUGUGACAAUAAGGUGCCAUACGAUUACAAGUUACUGUAUGAGAGAGAAAAAAAAUAUUCAAAUCGACUUCGAUAUAGAAUAAAUAAGCUUAAAAGAGAAUUACGUAAUACUCAUCGUAAGAAGCGGUGGCGAAUAAAAUCAGCAAAGCAAAUGCGAAAUACCGUUAGCGCUUUGCGAACGGAGCUUGGGCACCUCAGACGAACAAAAAAAGAGGAAUCCAACAUUUUGAAUUUUACGGAUUCCCUUAUACAGGAACUCAGAAAAAGAUCGAAAGAAACAAAACUGAAGCCAUUGUUACAAUGGUUUCUGGAUUAGGCCCUCUAAGUCCGAACAAAUUUAAAAAUGACACCGCUAGUCGUUCUGGACGUUUCAAGCAGGCAAUUGGUUAUAUGUUGGCUCAUCAUUCACUAGAAACUACUAAACAACUGAAUAUGAUUGCAAAUGCCGUACAAGCUCUAAAAGGUCGUGGAUUAUAUCCAUUGGCGUUGAUUCUAGACCAGUGUACAACGAAUGUUAAAAUGAUUCACGAAGCCGGAGCAGUUGCAGGAAGCCAAUAAUCAUGAUAGACAGUGCAGAAAUUGCAGUAUUUUAUGAUAAUCCACAUCUUAUUAAAAUCACGAAAAGUAUGCUAUCGAAACACAAUGCAGUUUUUAAAGGAAAAAUUGCAUCCUUUAGUCAUAUUCGACAACUGUAUCUGAAAGAUCAAAUAUGUGUACCGAGAUUAGUGCCAAAGCUCACCGAGAAAUUGAUAAAUCCUCGCCCAUUUAUGGCUAUGAAUGUAGUUCAAGCCACACGGACGUUAAGUCACUCUGUCGCAGUGGGUCUAGAAUACUACGCAUUGUCUGGGGAUCUACCUUUAUCUGCAUUGACAACAGCUUCAUUCGUAAAUCGACAAAAGUACUGCCAAGCCUUUUCGACGUAGUAUAACUCAAAGUUCUUACCAUUGGGAAUUUCUCAAAGAAGCUAAAGAAAUAUUGACGAAUAUGCAUUACACAGCUAACACAUGCUUUGACGAAAAAUUUGUAAGUGGUAUUGCUCAUCAUUUUAUGAUACAAUUCAUAAACCAAAACAAACAACAUAUAACAAAAAAUAUAAUGUGUUCGAAUAAUAUUCAUUCUAAAUAAACUUAUAAGUUUCUAAUUGGUUUCAUAUGAAUUUAAAGGCGGAUCGUGAUUCAAAAAAAAUUGACGGUUAAGCAAAGGAAACCCAACUGUCUCAGUGGAUUUAUUGGAAAUAUAAACGCUCUGAUUUGGUUAUGGAAGCAAUUAAAAACUGGUUACUUCUUCGACAGCUUACGUACAAAUUACCUUUACCAGGACGUAAUCGAAAAUCUUUUCUCUGAAAUAAGAAGACGAUGUGGUCGAAACGAUGCACCGAAUGCUUAUCAAUUCGGGUCUGCAUUUAAAUAUGCUACUAUUUCAGCAAAUGAGAAACUAGCGACAGGUACAAAUUGUGAAAAUGACAGAGCCGAUGUUCUAAUAACUCAAGAAGAUUUAGAGCGUGAAGAAUAUACACAGAAAACUGAGCUGCAAUCCUGCUUCAUUUAUAAAUUUUCGCCCCUAAAUAUUCAAUCCAACAAAAUGUAUACUUAAAAAGAACUGAACGGAGUAAUGUACAUCACCGGUGCUGCUGUGGCAAAAAUUGAACACAAAAAAUGUAAAAAAUAUAUGACCUUCAAACGCGACAACGUCGCAGUAAACAACCCGUUUUACGAACUAUGCAAAUUAAAGGGUACGUCAACCUUUCCCAGUACACAAUCUUUUGAAACAGGACUCCUGUGUUUUAAUGCAUUCAAGCAAAAAUUCGCCAAAUUCCUUUAUCAGAAUAGAAGGAACGUUAAAACCAGACUUAUCAAGUAUAUACCAUAUGAAGAUAUAAAGGAGUUUAUGU